rnacentral:rRNA from 1 species
AGAGUUUGAUCUGGCUCAGGAUGAACGCUAGCUACAGGCUUAACACAUGCAAGUCGAGGGGCAGCAUGGUCUUAGCUUGCUAAGGCCGAUGGCGACCGGCGCACGGGUGAGUAACACGUAUCCAACCUGCCGUCUACUCUUGGACAGCCUUCUGAAAGGAAGAUUAAUACAAGAUGGCAUCAUGAGUCCGCAUGUUCACAUGAUUAAAGGUAUUCCGGUAGACGAUGGGGAUGCGUUCCAUUAGAUAGUAGGCGGGGUAACGGCCCACCUAGUCUUCGAUGGAUAGGGGUUCUGAGAGGAAGGUCCCCCACAUUGGAACUGAGACACGGUCCAAACUCCUACGGGAGGCAGCAGUGAGGAAUAUUGGUCAAUGGGCGCAGGCCUGAACCAGCCAAGUAGCGUGAAGGAUGACUGCCCUAUGGGUUGUAAACUUCUUUUAUAAAGGAAUAAAGUCGGGUAUGCAUACCCGUUUGCAUGUACUUUAUGAAUAAGGAUCGGCUAACUCCGUGCCAGCAGCCGCGGUAAUACGGAGGAUCCGAGCGUUAUCCGGAUUUAUUGGGUUUAAAGGGAGCGUAGAUGGAUGUUUAAGUCAGUUGUGAAAGUUUGCGGCUCAACCGUAAAAUUGCAGUUGAUACUGGAUAUCUUGAGUGCAGUUGAGGCAGGCGGAAUUCGUGGUGUAGCGGUGAAAUGCUUAGAUAUCACGCAGAACUCCGAUUGCGAAGGCAGCUUACUAAACUAUAACUGACACUGAAGCACGAAAGCGUGGGGAUCAAACAGGAUUAGAUACCCUGGUAGUCCACGCAGUAAACGAUGAUUACUAGCUGUUUGCGAUACACAGUAAGCGGCACAGCGAAAGCGUUAAGUAAUCCACCUGGGGAGUACGCCGGCAACGGUGAAACUCAAAGGAAUUGACGGGGGCCCGCACAAGCGGAGGAACAUGUGGUUUAAUUCGAUGAUACGCGAGGAACCUUACCCGGGUUUGAACGCAUAUUGACAGCUCUGGAAACAGAGUCUCUAGUAAUAGCAAUUUGCGAGGUGCUGCAUGGUUGUCGUCAGCUCGUGCCGUGAGGUGUCGGCUUAAGUGCCAUAACGAGCGCAACCCUUAUCACUAGUUACUAACAGGUCAUGCUGAGGACUCUAGUAAGACUGCCAGCGUAAGCUGUGAGGAAGGUGGGGAUGACGUCAAAUCAGCACGGCCCUUACAUCCGGGGCGACACACGUGUUACAAUGGUGGGGACAAAGGGCAGCUACCGUGUGAGCGGAUGCAAAUCUCCAAACCCCAUCUCAGUUCGGAUCGAAGUCUGCAACCCGACUUCGUGAAGCUGGAUUCGCUAGUAAUCGCGCAUCAGCCAUGGCGCGGUGAAUACAUUCCCGGGCCUUGUACACACCGCCCGUCAAG